rnacentral:rRNA from 1 species
CCGUGAGAGUGGCGAACGGGUGAGUAAUGCGUGACCGACCUGCCCCAUACACCGGAAUAGCUCCUGGAAACGGGUGGUAAUGCCGGAUGCUCCAGUUGGAUGCAUGUCCUUCUGGGAAAGAUUCUAUCGGUAUGGGAUGGGGUCGCGUCCUAUCAGGUAGUCGGCGGGGUAACGGCCCACCGAGCCUACGACGGGUAGCCGGCCUGAGAGGGCGACCGGCCACAUUGGGACUGAGAUACGGCCCAGACUCC